CAUGCGCCAAUCCAAACCGAAAGCCAGAAGGAAGAAGAGUGAGGAGUUUGCUACAUCCCAGCUCCACAUCACUGGAAAUGGGAUUUGAGGCAAAACUACCUGGUGUGUCUGGAAGUGUCUGUUUCUGGAAUUCCACUCACAGGGGAAAAUUAGCCUGAACCAGAUGGCUUGAAACAGUCCUCAUGGGUGAGGGGUGGAAGGAGACACUGGAAAAGGGGACUGAAAUCAGCUUUAGGAACUUUCUGUCCUUUAAUCUCAAGAAUACAGAAAGUGAAUGUAACAUGUUAUGAGAAACCUCAUAUUGCCUGUAGAUCUUCACUUUCAAUACACACACACGCACACGCACACGCACACAGGCUACUGCUAUUGGCAAAUGCCUCCUCUCCAGCCAUCAGAGGAAAGAAGCUAUCCAGACGGUCCCAACGCACCAGGGAUAGAUGGAGUCUCCGCAGCCCUCAGCUGCAGCGGACUGGUCUGUGGAAUCACAGCGAGGAAGGUGUUGCGAGGAAAUCCCUUGCAUGCUGUGUGGUGUGUUAAAAAUGCAGCAUCAUCCUCUCUGCUCCUUUUCUUCGCUGAAAAGCAGAAUUCGAGGGCACAGGGAAACUGGAGGGGCGAGAAGGCUGUCUCCUGGAGCCCUGGGGCUGUCUCCCUCCAUGCCCCACUCCUUGGGCUCUAAUUGCCCUUGCUCCAAUGGGCCAGCAGCACCUUCACCAUUUAUUUCCUCUUCAAUUCACUCCAGCGGGGAGGGAAGAGGGAACACAAAACUCUAAAAAUAACUGUCAGCAUCUUAAAAAAAGAAAAAA
rnacentral:lncRNA from 1 species